CCUACGGGGGGCAGCAGUGGGGAAUAUUGGACAAUGGGCGCAAGCCUGAUCCAGCCAUGCCGCGUGUGUGAAGAAGGCCUUCGGGUUGUAAAGCACUUUUGUCCGGAAAGAAAAGCUUCGGGUUAAUACCCCGGGGUCCUGACGGUACCGGAAGAAUAAGCACCGGCUAACUUCGUGCCAGCAGCCGCGGUAAUACGAAGGGUGCAAGCGUUACUCGGAAUUACUGGGCGUAAAGCGUGCGUAGGUGGUUUGUUAAGUCUGAUGUGAAAGCCCUGGGCUCAACCUGGGAAUUGCAUUGGAUACUGGGAAGCUAGAGUGCGGUAGAGGAUGGCGGAAUUCCCGGUGUAGCAGUGAAAUGCGUAGAGAUCGGGAGGAACAUCUGUGGCGAAGGCGGCCAUCUGGACCAGCACUGACACUGAGGCACGAAAGCGUGGGGAGCAAACAGGAUUAGAUACCCCAGUAGUC
rnacentral:rRNA from 1 species